CCCCAGGUCAGGCGGGGCUACCCGCUGAGUUUAAGCAUAUCAAUAAGCGGAGUAAAAGA
rnacentral:rRNA from 5 species